rnacentral:lncRNA from 1 species
AUAUUAAAGUGAUAUUUUUUAAAAACUAUAUGAUGUUAUUAUAUUAAAAAAUAAAACUAUAUGAUAUUCAUGUGUAGUUUUUUGAAUUAGAUGGUGACUGAUAAGUAAAAAAAAAAAAAAAGCUUUAAAUUAUAGAUAACCUAAGUGUAAAUUGUUUAAACUACAAAAUGAUAAAGUAAAAAUGCGCUAAACCAUAGUUAGUUAAUUCGGAUUCGGCAAAAAUUCGGUACGGGUAUAAUACGUAUAAAAUUUAUUUUCUAAUUUUUAAAUUCGUUGAAAAAUUCGGCUUAAAAAACGGAUUCAGUAUAAAAUAUAAAAUAUAAAAUAUAAGAUAAUAUAUAUUUAAAAAUAAAAAAUUAUAAAUUUUUUAUUCAUAUUUUUAAUAAUUCGCGAAUUAUUCGGCUAGAUCAAAAAUUCGUGAAUAAUUCUUCUUCUUUGAAAAAAAUUCAUAAACGGACUGUUUAAUUCGGAUUUUCAAUAAUUCGCGAAUAAUUCGCGAAUUAACUAACUAGGCGCUAAACUAC